UACGUAGGGGGCAAGCGUUGUCCGGAAUCAUUGGGCGUAAAGCGCGUGUAGGCGGCUCGGUAAGUCCGCUCUGAAAGUCCAGGGCUCAACCCUGGGAUGCGGGUGGAUACUGCCGGGCUCGAGUCCGGAAGAGGCGAGUGGAAUUCCCGGUGUAGCGGUGAAAUGCGCAGAUAUCGGGAAGGAACACCAAUGGCGAAGGCAGCUCGCUGGGACGUGACUGACGCUGAGACGCGAAAGCU
rnacentral:rRNA from 1 species